AUGAACGCUGGCGGCGCGCCUAACACAUGCAAGUCGAACGGCACCUAUCUUCGGGUAGAAGCGAGUGGCGAACGGCUGAGUAACACGUGGAGAACCUGCCCCCUCCCCCGGGAUAGCCGCCCGAAAGGACGGGUAAUACCGGAUACCCCGGGGUGCCGCAUGGCACCCCGGCUAAAGCCCCGACGGGAGGGGAUGGCUCCGCGGCCCAUCAGGUAGACGGCGGGGUGACGGCCCACCGUGCCGACAACGGGUAGCCGGGUUGAGAGACCGACCGGCCAGAUUGGGACUGAGACACGGCCCAGACUCCUACGGGAGGCAGCAGUGGGGAAUCUUGCGCAAUGGGGGGAACCCUGACGCAGCGACGCCGCGUGCGGGACGGAGGCCUUCGGGUCGUAAACCGCUUUCAGCAGGGAAGAGUCAAGACUGUACCUGCAGAAGAAGCCCCGGCUAACUACGUGCCAGCAGCCGCGGUAAUACGUAGGGGGCGAGCGUUAUCCGGAUUCAUUGGGCGUAAAGCGCGCGUAGGCGGCCCGGCAGGCCGGGGGUCGAAGCGGGGGGCUCAACCCCCCGAAGCCCCCGGAACCUCCGCGGCUUGGGUCCGGUAGGGGAGGGUGGAACACCCGGUGUAGCGGUGGAAUGCGCAGAUAUCGGGUGGAACACCGGUGGCGAAGGCGGCCCUCUGGGCCGAGACCGACGCUGAGGCGCGAAAGCUGGGGGAGCGAACAGGAUUAGAUACCCUGGUAGUCCCAGCCGUAAACGAUGGACGCUAGGUGUGGGGGGACGAUCCCCCCGUGCCGCAGCCAACGCAUUAAGCGUCCCGCCUGGGGAGUACGGCCGCAAGGCUAAAACUCAAAGGAAUUGAC
rnacentral:rRNA from 1 species